rnacentral:rRNA from 1 species
AUGAUGUGUCAUGUCCUAGGUAUGUCGAUUGCUUCAGCGGCUAAACGAAAGGGCUUGCCCGGUCGACAAGUUGAUAACCCCCGAGGUCGCAAACGGAGAAGGUAUUCAGUGCCGGAUCUUCCAAAGGACAUCUGGCAUGAUAUACUGUCCCUGCUGCCACUGACUGAUGCUGCUCGAGCUGGCUGUGUGUCUCAAACAUUUCGGAGCUCCUGGAGAUGCCAUCCCCACCUCACCCUAAAUAGUGAAACACUGGGCCUGAUUGGAAAUGCAUGUCGAAGAGAGGAACUGGGGCGGAUUUUCACCAACAGAGCUGACCACAUUAUGAAAAGACACUCGGGCGGUGUGAAGACAUUCAAGCUUCGCUACUGUGGUUCUUUUUUUGACAGCAGUUACCUCAACAGGUGGCUUGAGAUUGCUGUUACUCCUGGGAUUGAAGAAGUCAUACUUUCAAUGCCUGCAGGAUGCAACACAGUUAAUUACGACUUCCCAUGCUCAGUUUUACUCAAUGGGAGUGGAAACUCGAUUCGACAUCUUAACCUCAACCGUUGUGCUUUCCAUCCCACAGCGGGACUUGGUUGCUUGACAAGGCUGCAACUGUAUCAGGUGCACAUUACGGGAGAUGAGUUAGGACACCUUCUUUCCAACUCUCUUGCUAUGGAAGAGCUGAAUCUGAAUCGUUGUGACAAGAUCAUCUGCCUCAAGAUACCUUCCCUGCUACAUCGGCUCAACUGCCUGACAGUGUUUCGUUGCACAGCUCUGGAAGUGAUAGAGAAUAAAGCUCCAAAUGUUUGCGCUGUUCACAUUGAUGGCGCCCUAGAGAAACUUGCAGUUGGAGAUUUAUUGCAAGUGAAAGAACUACAAAUGCUGCAUGUCGAUGAAUCUAACCUUGUUCAUUAUGCUUGUUCCAAGCUUCCAUUCAUUAUGCCAAAUCUUGAAUUCCUCAGCGUAUGUUCGGCUGAAGAGAUGUUCAGUACGCCACUCUUAGCUGUCAAACUCCUGUACCUUAAGAACCUGCAGAUCUUUCUUGAUGAUGGACAGCUGGGGGGAUUUUCGCCAGCCUAUGAUUAUUUUUCUCUAGCUUAUUUUCUGGAUGCUUGUCCUGUCCUGGAGAACUUUAUCUUGGGUGUAUCACAGACUCGAGUAAAGCAUGAAUUGAUUUCUGCUGGAGACUCAAGCAUGAGACGGAUACCAGGACAUCAGUAUUGCAACAUGAAGAAUGUCAGUAUAAUGGGCUUCUGCUCUGCAAAGAGCAUGGUCGAACUAACCUGCCAUAUUCUUGAGAAUGCAACUUCACUCGAGUGCCUUAUGUUGGACACUGUAUAUGAUAAUCGGGAAGACACUGAUGGAUGUUGUGUCGAGGGAUCUCCUGGUGAAUGCCGCCCGAUAGGCAGGAGUAUGAUCAUGCACGCCCACAAAGGUCUAUGGGCUAUUGAAAAAUAUGUUGUGGAGAAAGUUCCAUCCACAGCCAAGUUAAAUGUUAAGAAGCUAUGCAGCCGCUGCCAUAAAAUCACAUGA